GUCUAUGGCUAUACCACACUGAACGUGCCCGAUCUCGUCUGAUCUCGGAAGCUAAGCAGGGUCGGGCCUGGUUAGUACUUGGAUGGGAAAGAAAUGUUGUAAGCC
rnacentral:rRNA from 1 species